CUUUUCGUGAUACCAGCUAGAUUGGAGCGUCGACGUGACACCUAGGCGGCCACGCACCGAAGGUGGCCCACAAUCGUGUAUAUAUAGAUAUACUCGGUCGCUCGAGCAAGUGGUUGCCAAUCGCAUCCUUGUCCCCGCUCGCACAGAUGUUUCCUGGAAUGCAAGAAUUGGGAUUUUUCUUGUUUCAAUUAUGAAUGUCAGUGAAUAAAAGUAUCUCCAGAUUUGAUAAA